UGCCCUACGGGACGCAGCAGUGGGGAAUAUUGCACAAUGGGGGAAACCUUGAUGCAGCGACGCCGCGUGAGUGAAGAAGUAUUUCGGUAUGUAAAGCUCUAUCAGCAGGGAAGAAGCAAGACGGUACCUGACUAAGAAGCCCCGGCUAACUACGUGCCAGCAGCCGCGGUAAUACGUAGGGGGCAAGCGUUAUCCGGAUUUACUGGGUGUAAAGGGUGCGUAGGUGGCAGGGCAAGUCAGAUGUGAAAGCCCGGGGCUCAACCCCGGUACUGCAUUUGAAACUGUCCAGCUGGAAUGCAGGAGAG
rnacentral:rRNA from 1 species